UACGUCCAUAUCACGGUGAAACACCCGUGUCUGUACGAUCACCGAAGUUAAGCAAUGUUGAGCCCGGCUUGUACCUAGAUAGGUUUCUGCUUGGGAAUACAAGGUGCUGUAA